UACGGAGGGUGCGAGCGUUGUCCGGAAUCAUUGGGCGUAAAGGGCGCGUAGGUGGCGGGACAAGCGUGCGGUGAAAGCUCGGGGCUCAACCCCGAGUCGGCCGUGCGAACUGUUUUGCUUGAGCACUGUAGAGGCAGGCGGAAUUCCGGGUGUAGCGGUGGAAUGCGUAGAGACUCCGGAAGAACACCGGUGGCGAAGGCGGCCUGCUGGGCAGUAGCUGACACUGAGCGCGACAGCG
rnacentral:rRNA from 1 species